UACGAAGGGGGCUAGCGUUGCUCGGAAUUACUGGGCGUAAAGCGCACGUAGGCGGAUUGUUAAGUCGGGGGUGAAAUCCUGGAGCUCAACUCCAGAACUGCCUUCGAUACUGGCGAUCUCGAGUUCGGGAGAGGUGAGUGGAACUGCGAGUGUAGAGGUGAAAUUCGUAGAUAUUCGCAAGAACACCAGUGGCGAAGGCGGCUCACUGGCCCGAUACUGACGCUGAGGCGCGACAGCGUGGGGAGCAAACAGG
rnacentral:rRNA from 1 species